rnacentral:rRNA from 1 species
AGGGGUAUAGUUCUUCGGAGCUAGAGACCGGCGCACGGGUGCGUAACGCGUAUGCAAUCUACCUUUUACAGAGGGAUAGCCCAGAGAAAUUUGGAUUAAUACCUCAUAGUAUGUGAGAAUCGCAUGGUUUUCACAUUAAAGUUCCAACGGUAAAAGAUGAGCAUGCGUCCCAUUAGCUAGAUGGUAAGGUAACGGCUUACCAUGGCGACGAUGGGUAGGGGUCCUGAGAGGGAGAUCCCCCACACUGGUACUGAGACACGGACCAGACUCCUACGGGAGGCAGCAGUGAGGAAUAUUGGACAAUGGGCGCAAGCCUGAUCCAGCCAUGCCGCGUGCAGGAUGACGGUCCUAUGGAUUGUAAACUGCUUUUGUACAGGAAGAAACACUCCCUCGUGAGGGAGCUUGACGGUACUGUAAGAAUAAGGAUCGGCUAACUCCGUGCCAGCAGCCGCGGUAAUACGGAGGAUCCAAGCGUUAUCCGGAAUCAUUGGGUUUAAAGGGUCCGUAGGCGGUUUAAUAAGUCAGUGGUGAAAGCCCAUCGCUCAACGGUGGAACGGCCAUUGAUACUGUUAAACUUGAAUUAUUAGGAAGUAACUAGAAUAUGUAGUGUAGCGGUGAAAUGCUUAGAGAUUACAUGGAAUACCAAUUGCGAAGGCAGGUUACUACUAAUGGAUUGACGCUGAUGGACGAAAGCGUGGGUAGCGAACAGGAUUAGAUACCCUGGUAGUCCACGCCGUAAACGAUGGAUACUAGCUGUUGGGCGCAAGUUCAGUGGCUAAGCGAAAGUGAUAAGUAUC